UACGUAGGGUGCGAGCGUUAAUCGGAAUUACUGGGCGUAAGCGUGCGCAGGCGGUUCGUUAAGUUCGUUGUGAAAGCCCCGGGCUCAACCUGGGAACUGCAAUGGAAACUGGCGGGCUUGAAUGCGGCAGAGGGGGGUGGAAUUCCGCGUGUAGCAGUGAAAUGCGUAGAGAUGCGGAGGAACACCUAUGGCGAAGGCAGCCCCCUGGGCCGACAUUGACGCUCAGGCACGAAAGCGUGGGGAGCAAACAGG
rnacentral:rRNA from 1 species